AACGAACGCUGGCGGCAGGCUUAACACAUGCAAGUCGAACGCCCCGCAAGGGGAGUGGCAGACGGGUGAGUAACGCGUGGGAAUCUACCCAUCUCUGCGGAAUAGCUCCGGGAAACUGGAAUUAAUACCGCAUACGCCCCACGGGGGAAAGAUUUAUCGGGGAUGGAUGAGCCCGCGUUGGAUUAGCUAGUUGGUGGGGUGAAGGCCUACCAAGGCGACGAUCCAUAGCUGGUCUGAGAGGAUGAUCAGCCACAUUGGGACUGAGACACGGCCCAAACUCCUACGGGAGGCAGCAGUGGGGAAUAUUGGACAAUGGGCGCAAGCCUGAUCCAGCCAUGCCGCGUGAGUGAUGAAGGCCUUAGGGUUGUAAAGCUCUUUCACCGAUGAAGAUAAUGACGGUAGUCGGAGAAGAAGCCCCGGCUAACUUCGUGCCAGCCGCCGCAGUAAUAC
rnacentral:rRNA from 1 species